UGGAUACGAAUAGGCUUCGGGGCAAUGACAGCAGGUUGGCGGCGGUGUCCGGGGAGAGACCCUCGGGCGCCAGCUAACGGAUUGCAAUGUCACAACGCGCGGGGAUAGAUCCUCUGCAGACGACUGAAAUGACCAAGCGGGUCGUGUAAGCGGUCAAGUAGCCUAGUUGUUACGAGUCGCUGAGCGUCAGCCCGAUCCUUGGCUCGAUUUGU
rnacentral:ncRNA from 1 species